UGUAUCUAAUAUAGAUAGAGAUUUGCUUAGAGACGUGUCAAGUAAACUUGAUAUGGUAUUAAUAAACCAAUGUCGCAUCUUAAAUGAAAUAUUUCCUAAUGAAACUAAUGUAGAAAGACACGAAAAUUGUCCCCCUCUUCCAUUACGAGAUGAACAGUCAUUUGAACCAUUUAACGAAUUUUUGAAGGACAAAAUUGCAUAUUCUCAGUUUGUCAGUUACCUUAAUGGAUAUAUUCAUGACGAUACUGAUCAGUGGAAUGCUGCUACUUGUCUCAUGUCCACUGUAUUACACAAUGAGCUUGCAAGACAGGUUGGCUGGAAAGGAACUAAAGGAGUAAAAAUUUCUUUAUAGGUCAAGGAUCAAAGAAGCUUUGUUUUGUGCUAUAAUGAGCCGUUUCAAAAAUCAGUCAUUGAAGAGUGCUGAAGAAUCUAUGAAGUGCUGGUUGAACACUUCUGGUCAACGUAAAUAAAAAAAUAAUUUUUCUCACAUUUUGGUUUUAAUCAAUCUUUUUAAUUUUUGUUAUUGCAAUACAUUAAAGAUCAA